ensembl:lncRNA
AUGCCCGAGAGCUCUCUAGUUCACUGUCACAGGAGCUCCAUGCCAGACGUGACUGGAAACUGCUGUUACUUCCCAUGCUGAUCUACAUGGCUGCCUCUCACAUCUCUUCCCUUUCACGUUUCAGUGAGAAAACACAACUGGGUCUGCUUUGCAGAGCGGCCACAUGAGCGGGGCUGGGUCCCCUUACUGUGUGUGUCUGGCACUUUUGCACUCGGGUCCCUAACGUCACCCAGGGACAUGUCAGCAGAAGGAUGAGGCCACUGAGGAGAAAAGUGAUGAAGCUAUUGCCUGUAACUGCUGACAUAAGGGCCGGCUCCUGGAGCAGCCGUGGUCACCCCAGGGAUGUGGCAGCUCUGAAAUCCAGGACCUGGAGAGCAGAGCUCCUGAAGGAUGCUGUGUGUUUCUCUGCAAAGCUGCUUCACCUCUUGGGCCACCUAGUUUCUGCACAGGCACAAAACUACAGCGUUGUCCAGCAAAGGGAU